GGUGCUGUAAUGACAUAUGGUACUCCUGGAUGCUCCUUUGCAGCUUCAGCUGUUAAUGAAGGAAUAUCCUGGUUCCAAUGUCGUCCAGGAGAAAGGAAAAAGGGGCUCACAAUAACUCGACGUGCUCCUUGUUGAACGCAUAAACUAAAUGCGUCUCUGAUAGAUGGUUCUGCUAGCUCCAUGUGUGCAGGCUCCACAAUGGGAUAUUUGGUUCUCUCUCUAAACAUUGCUACAAAUUCAUUUAGCAUGAGAUUGGACUCUUUUCUACGGGACCCAUGAUCCACAAUUAUCACUCCGUCGCCUUCUUCUAUCCCCUUCAACCCCUCCCUACUUGAAGUAGCCAUACAAUACCUCUGAGGUAAAUAUCUGGAUUUUGAAGGACCCUUAAGCAAUUUUACAAAUUCAGGAACUGCAAUUCCUGGUCCUCUAGCUGGGUAUGUACUGGUUGAGCUCCUCAAACUAAGAUGAGAUUGUAAAGACAACGAAUCCAUUCACCUUCUUCCAACACCGCUUCGGUUAUUCUUCCAUUUUCAACUGAAUCAGUAAACCUUGAUUAUU
rnacentral:misc_RNA from 1 species